GCGUUUCCCUUUCCCACACUGGUUGCCGCGUUUGGGGAGGUCAUCCUGUGUGUUAGAGUGGCCGGAGCCUGAGACGUGAGUUGAGGAUGCUGGACCGGUGACUGCCGAGCAAAUGUGUGCAUCUUGCCAGAGCGUGGCAUGGAGGAAAUACCCGAUCUGGGAGUCCCACAGUGAAUCUCGUAUCACCAGAGAACUCUCAAAUGCUGCCUCGUGCCGUGGUAUCUGUCUGUCUGUCUGUCUGCGGUGUAGCAGAUCACGAAUGGUGUGUGCUCACGGUCCUCAGGGGUCAGGUAUACCAAUGUAUGAUGCCAGGAGCUGUCUUUCUGUGUUACUGCAGCUUUGCAAGGGGAAAGUAGCAGAAUGCAAAGGGAGCGGGGAAUUGAGAGCACUCUGAAGAUGCCAUGAAUGUCACAAAUGAGCAGGUUUUAAAGACAUCAGAUGAAAGGAAGAAAAGUAUGAAGACUCUGAAUGAAAGACAGGAGAGAAACAGAAAACCAAGAGAAGUCAAGGGGCUUCCCUUUCUGUCCCUUUCAUGGUGAAAUAGCUUCUAGGGGUGGGACAAGUUUCUGACCCCUGUGUUAAUGACCAUGACUGGUUUGAGGAAGGAAUACAAUGAUGCGUUAGGAGAAUAAAAACCUAACACGGAUGGUAGUGA